AUGGUUUGAAGAGCUCCGAGUGGAUAUGAAUGUGGUAAAAAACAUCUCAAUGGAGAUAUUGGACUUUUAUGAAAACCACAGAAUGAUCACAGAGGAGAGGAUACAUGCCGCUUUCAGCAAACUUCCUAUGAAACUCUAAAGAAUUUGCUGCUAAUUGGAACAUAAUGCUGGUUAAUUUGGGUAUAACCAGAAAGCAGUUGCUUUCCUUGUUUUGAACAGUAAAUGCUUGUAAUGUAGGCUAUGUUCACUUUUCUAGUAGAGCCAGUGUUUGGUGAUAUUUUUCUUGUAAGACCGCCAUGGUUGUACAUUGAGAAGUUGUCACAGGAAAGUUCAAGGUGAUCUAAAUUCAAUCCAGUAAUUUUGAGUUGUCAUGA